rnacentral:lncRNA from 1 species
CAAAACCAUUUUAUGUGCAACCUGCGGUCUUUGAAGCCUAGUUCACAUACUUACAUGUGAUCAUAUAAUCAAGUAUCCACAUAAUUCAUGUACAGGUGUACUUCUUGUGUUCUAAGAAUAUGACAAUUGUCUCAACCAUUUCGAUCAGAGGAAUUCUUGGCAUUUUGUCUCCCCAGGUCGUUUGGAUGAUUCUUAAUACAUUUCAGAAGAAUCUCUAUUAUUUUACAAAGUUCCAUGUAAUUUCUGAAGCAAUUAAAAUUGUGGUUUAUUAACAAAAUGAAUAAAAAUAUACGUGGGCAGAGAAGAAAACAGUUAAGUUUUCAUUUAUUUUCAGUUUUGUAUAAAGUUUAUAAGUAUUUUAAUCAAGUGUUUUUUUUCCCAACCACACUUAAUUCAUUAAACGAAAAUCACUACACGAAAGUUAAUCAGUUACAAAGUUCAACCCA